UGGUGACUAUAGCAAGGAGGUCACACCUGUUCCCAUGCCGAACACAGAAGUUAAGCUCCUUAGCGUCGAUGGUAGUCGAACUUAAAAUAAAAGCAAACACAAAGAAAGAUGGCUUGGCGAAGUGAAAACGUUUGAAUC
rnacentral:rRNA from 1 species